GAUGAAGAACGUAGCGAAAUGCGAUACGUAAUGUGAAUUGCAAAUUCAGUGAAUCAUCGAGUCUUUGAACGCACAUUGCGCCCCCUGGUAUUCCGGGGGGCAUGCCUGUCCGAGCGUCAUUGCUGCCCUCAAGCACGGCUUGUGUGUUGGGCCCCGUCCUCCGAUCCCGGGGGACGGGCCCGAAAGGCAGCGGCGGCACCGCGUCCGGUCCUCGAGCGUAUGGGCUUUGUCACCCGCUCUGUAGGCCCGGCCGGCGCUUGCCGAUCAACCCAAAUUUUUUAUCCAGGUUGACCUCGGAUCAGGUAGGGAUACCCGCUGAACUUAAGCAUAUCAAUAAGCGGAGGA
rnacentral:misc_RNA from 1 species